rnacentral:rRNA from 1 species
GACGAACGCUUGCGGCGAUGCUUAACACAUGCAAGUCGAACGGAAAGGCCCUGCUUUUGUGGGGUGCUCGAGUGGCGAACGGGUGAGUAACACGUGAGUAACCUGCCCUUGACUUUGGGAUAACUUCAGGAAACUGGGGCUAAUACCGGAUAGGAGCUCCUGCUGCAUGGUGGGGGUUGGAAAGUUUCGGCGGUUGGGGAUGGACUCGCGGCUUAUCAGCUUGUUGGUGGGGUAGUGGCUUACCAAGGCUUUGACGGGUAGCCGGCCUGAGAGGGUGACCGGCCACAUUGGGACUGAGAUACGGCCCAGACUCCUACGGGAGGCAGCAGUGGGGAAUAUUGCACAAUGGGCGGAAGCCUGAUGCAACAACGCCGCGUGCGGGAUGACGGCCUUCGGGUUGUAAACCGCUUUCGCCUGUGACGAAGCGUGAGUGACGGUAAUGGGUAAAGAAGCACCGGCUAACUACGUGCCAGCAGCCGCGGUGAUACGUAGGGUGCGAGCGUUGUCCGGAUUUAUUGGGCGUAAAGGGCUCGUAGGUGGUUGAUCGCGUCGGAAGUGUAAUCUUGGGGCUUAACCCUGAGCGUGCUUUCGAUACGGGUUGACUUGAGGAAGGUAGGGGAGAAUGGAAUUCCUGGUGGAGCGGUGGAAUGCGCAGAUAUCAGGAGGAACACCAGUGGCGAAGGCGGUUCUCUGGGCCUUUCCUGACGCUGAGGAGCGAAAGCGUGGGGAGCGAACAGGCUUAGAUACCCUGGUAGUCCACGCUGUAAACGGUGGGUACUAGGUGUGGGGUCCAUUCCACGGGUUCCGUGCCGUAGCUAACGCUUUAAGUACCCCGCCUGGGGAGUACGGCCGCAAGGCUAAAACUCAAAGGAAUUGACGGGGCCCCGCACAAGCGGCGGAGCAUGCGGAUUAAUUCGAUGCAACGCGUAGAACCUUACCUGGGUUUGACAUGGAUCGGGAGUGCUCAGAGAUGGGUGUGCCUCUUUUGGGGUCGGUUCACAGGUGGUGCAUGCCUGUCGUCAGCUCGUGUCGUGAGAUGUUGGGUUAAGUCCCGCAACGAGCGCAACCCUUGUUCACUGUUGCCAGCACGUUAUGGUGGGGACUCAGUGGAGACCGCCGGGGUCAACUCGGAGGAAGGUGGGGAUGACGUCAAGUCCUCAUGCCCCUUAUGUCCAGGGCUUCACGCAUGCUACAAUGGCUGGUACAGAGAGUGGCGAGCCUGUGAGGGUGAGCGAAUCUCGGAAAGCCGGUCUCAGUUCGGAUUGGGGUCUGCAACUCGACCUCAUGAAGUCGGAGUCGCUAGUAAUUCGCAGAUCAGCAACGCUGCGGUGAAUACGUUCCCGGG